CACUAACCCUAAGACACCAACACUCAACACUAUCAUGGUCUAACACCUCUUUAUUUGACAGUUCAACACAUUAUGUGUAACGUUUAGCUACAUCCAAAAGCAUUCACAUUGAGAUCUAUAGAGACCAUCAUCAUGCUAACUGCGUGGUACCAGGGUAUCUAGCAGUGGAAGACCUGCCGACAGUCCCACAACCGAGGCUCUGACAAACUAAAAGCUGAAAGCAGAUCUUCCCAAUUCUGUGGAGACUGGACCUUAGUGUAAUCCAAACCUCGGAAAAUAUCAUUUAGCGGGAACGUUUAGCACCUCUGCUUAACGUUCACAAUCGAUAAGCUAUAAAUAAACAACGGUCAAAUAAAACCAUCAUGGACAACCCAGAACCAAUGUACUCAGAGUGCCGCCUGGGAUUUUAAUGUCAGUACAUCAAAUCUAUAA